ACAUCCAGCGAACUUGGCAGAGAUGCCUUGGUGCCUUCGGGAACGCUGAGACAGGUGCUGCAUGGCUGUCGUCAGCUCGUGUUGUGAAAUGUUGGGUUAAGUCCCGCAACGAGCGCAACCCUUAUCCUUUGUUGCCAGCGAUUCGGUCGGGAACUCAAAGGAGACUGCCGGUGAUAAACCGGAGGAAGGUGGGGAUGACGUCAAGUCAUCAUGGCCCUUACGAGUAGGGCUACACACGUGCUACAAUGGCGCAUACAAAGAGAAGCGACCUCGCGAGAGCAAGCGGACCUCAUAAAGUGCGUCGUAGUCCGGAUCGGAGUCUGCAACUCGACUCCGUGAAGUCGGAAUCGCUAGUAAUCGUGGAUCAGAAUGCCACGGUGAAUACGUUCCCGGGCCUUGUACACACCGCCCGUCACACCAUGGGAGUGGGUUGCAAAAGAAGUAGGUAGCUUAACCUCGGGAGGGCGCUUACCACUUUGUGAUUCAUGACUGGGGUGAAGUCGUAACAAGGUAGGCGUAGCGAG
rnacentral:rRNA from 1 species